UACAUAGGUGGCAAGCGUUGUUCGGAAUUACUGGGCGUAAAGGGCGCGUAGGCGGUUCGUUAAGUCCUGGGUGAAAUCCCCCGGCUCAACUGGGGAACUGCACAGGAAACUAGCGGUCUUGAGUUCGGGAGAGGGAAGCGGAAUUCCGGGUGUAGCGGUGAAAUGCGUAGAUAUCCGGAGGAACACCGGUGGCGAAGGCGGCUUCCUGGACCGACACUGACGCUGAGGCGCGAAAGCUAGGGGAGCAAACGGG
rnacentral:rRNA from 1 species